rnacentral:rRNA from 1 species
UACAGAGGUGGCAAGCGUUGUUCGGAAUUACUGGGCGUAAAGGGCGCGUAGGCGGCCCGUCAAGUCCCGUGUGAAAGCCCCCGGCUCAACCGGGGAACGGCGCGGGAAACUAGCAGGCUUGAGUUCGGGAGAGGGAAGCGGAAUUCCGGGUGUAGCGGUGAAAUGCGCAGAUAUCCGGAGGAACACCGGUGGCGAAGGCGGUUCUCUGGGCAUUACCUGACGCUGAGGAGCGAAAGCGUGGGGAGCGAACAGG